rnacentral:piRNA from 1 species
UGGGAAGAUUUUGUUUUACCUUUCUGGGAC